rnacentral:lncRNA from 1 species
AAAUGAAAAGAAGGGACUAAUAGGGAAUAAGACGUGUGAUCCAUGGCCCGAUGGCCCUGAUGGACGUGAAGAUCCACUGUUGUGGGAGGAGUGGAACACUAACACUGAAUGAUGGAGGCUGUGGUCAGAAACAGAUUUGUCUGAAUUUCAGUUGAUCCAGAGCAAGAAAAAUAGCUGAAUAUAACUGGCCAGUGCAGAAGAGCCUAUGAAGGUGGAAAAUGGAGGAAGGAGGACCCCAUGCUGGAGAAGUGAUGGAGAUUUGAAGCCUUGGAAGAUGGCGGCAAGGGAGAUGCCAGAGAUGAGACAAUGUUAAACAUCUGUAAUCUAACAGUCUUCUAUGGGAGUUUAUUACAUUUCCAUAUCCUAUGUUCACUUCUAGUGAAAAAUAAAAAUAAAAUCUUAAGCCCCCCACAGCUGACUAAAUGGAUCCCAUUGUGAAAGGAAAAUAUCUUGAGCCUCCAAAAUCACUAAGGAAAAUUCAAGCUGGAAACUUCUUAGGACAAACCUGCCUCCCAUUCUCUUCAAAGUUAUUCCUCUGCUCGAGGAGCUAGAUGCAUAUCUGAUUGCCGCCUUUGGAAAGGCUAACCAGAAACUCAAAAGAAUGAUACAGUUUGUUAUCACCUACCUGUGACCUGGAAGCUCCCUCCCUCCCCACUUGAGUCUUCCUGCUUUUGUUUCAAGCUGUCCUGCCUUUCCAGACCAAACCAAUGUACUUCUUACGUAUAUUGAUUGAUGUCUCACUCAUGUCUCCCUAAAUCGUAUAAAACCAAGCUGUGCCCCAACUACCCUGGGCAUGUGUCAUCAGGAUUUCAUGAAGCUGUGUCACGGGCGCAUUCCCCAACCUUGAAAAAAUAAACUUUCUAAAUUAACUGAAAAAAAAAAA